UACAGAGGUCCCAAGCGUUGUUCGGAUUCAUUGGGCGUAAAGGGUGCGUAGGCGGCGCGGUAAGUCGGGUGUGAAAUCUCGGGGCUUAACUCCGAAACUGCAUUCGAUACUGCCGUGCUUGAGGACUGGAGAGGAGACUGGAAUUUACGGUGUAGCGGUGAAAUGCGUAGAUAUCGUAAGGAAGACCAGUGGCGAAGGCGGGUCUCUGGACCGAUACUGACGCUGAGGAGCGAAAGCCAGGGGAGCAAACGGG
rnacentral:rRNA from 1 species